GCAGUGUAGCUCAGUGGUAGAGAGUGAGUUUAGCACACAUGAGACCUAGGUUCAAUCCCCAGCAUUCA
rnacentral:tRNA from 1 species